UCCGUGUCGCUACCAGUCCGCUGACAUGGCUUGUCAAUCAACGCUGUCCAGGUGAUGCAGACAGGCUGGACCAGAGAAUGAGAGACAGAACUGGACUCCUCACAGCAGUGAACUUCAGCACAGGAAAGGACAUGCCUGAAAGACACAACAUUUUCUCCUUCUCUGAGGGUCAAGAAGAACAUCCAAGAGGAAAAUUACACU